rnacentral:rRNA from 1 species
GAUGAACGCUGGCGGCGUGCUUAACACAUGCAAGUCGAACGGGCUCACAGGGGUGCUUGCACUUUUUCGUUAGCGUGGCGCACGGGUGUGUCACACGGGAGUCACCUGUCCUUUUCUGUGGUAUCAGCAUGCGAAAGGGUGUUUAAUACCUUAUGUUCUUUCUGCCUCGCAUGGGGUGGUGGGGAAAGGCUUUGGCCGCAUUUGGGUGGGCUUGCGGGCUAUCAGAUUUUUGGUGGGAUGAUGGCUUACACAGGCUCUGACGGGUAGCCGGCCUGCGAGGGCGGUCGGUCAGAGUCGGACUGAGAUACGGCCCAGACUGCUGCGGGAGGCAGCAGUGGGGGAUGUUGCACAAUGUGCGGAAGCCUCAUGGAGCGAGGCCGCGUGGGGGAUGAAGGCUUACGGGUUGUUAACUUCUUUUGCUCUGAACGAGGGAUGCUAGGCAGUUUGUUGCGUGUAGUAGUCGAUUAGCGCCGGCUAACUACGUG